rnacentral:misc_RNA from 1 species
ACUUUCUCUUCCCCAUCAUCAAGACUGAAUUUUUUGUUAGUGUUUAUUGGAGUCUUCACCGGGUUGCAAUUUUGCAACUGAAACCUUUUAAGAAGAUCGUUCACAUAAAAGAUGAAGAAACUAAUAGAUAUCUAAAGGUCCUACAAUGGCUGACUAUUAUAAUUAACCAAACAGAAAAGAAAAAGUAGUUUUAAUGGAUAAAUACCUUGUUAGAUGCCAAAGCUCUGAUACCAAAAUGAUGAGCACUCCUAGGAUACCAAGAAACACAACAUCUAAAUAUUGGAACCAAGAUCUUUAAUCAUCCAAACAAGGAAGAAUUUCAGAUUGAAAACCCAAGUGUCAAUACACAAAUAGUAACAAGAUAAAGCAUAUUGAUCAUCAAAAUAAGACUAGCAAGGGGUUCAUGCUGCUAGAAUCCAAGUUCUUUCAAGAAACAUGGAAGAAACAUAGAAGAAACUCAAGCUCCAGCAAUGGAGUUCUCUCCCUAAUGCUAACACUUAACCUAGAAAAAAAUGAAGGCUGCCAAUACAAUCUGAAUAUCUUGGGUUAUAUAUAGCAUCUCUAAAACCCUAAAAGUGUGCCAAAACCCUAAAAGUGUACCAACAUGGCUAAAAAGACAAAAAUGCAAGGCUCAUCAAUCAGAUGGGGCGUCUCCAUAGGGGUGGACCAUUUGGGACUACUUGCUUUAUGGCAGCCCUUUAUGUAGUGAUAAACAUAAGGUGGCAGCAACACUUUAGGUGGUAGCAGCCUUUUUUUAAUGUAGUGGGGACCAAUAAAAGGUGUCAGCACAUGGCAAAUCCAAAUAAGCAUAAGAAGCUCCUCCAAUCCACUUGGCCGAAUGGUCUUGUGCCAAGUCAUGCUGAUGUGGCGAAGUCACACUGAUGUGGCGCCACUUGUCAAGUCUCCCAUGCCAACUUGUGUGAGAAUGAUCCACCUAGAUUCCAACAAUAUGCAAGAAAGUCCAACAUGACAAUUUUGAUCCCCCUUAUGUUCACAAUGCUCCAACACCAAUGCUUGCAGCUCUCUAGCUCUGGCUCUGAUGAUGGGUCCUCUAAAUAAUGGCAUAGGCACUGGUGCUUCUUCAUCAAUGCUGCUUCCCAACUACACAACU